UCGGCUUGGGCUUGAGUAGAACUGGGAUGAUUUGCAUCCAAAAGACCGAGAAUAGAGGAAGGCGAGGCUUGUUCAUACAUCUAGGACUGAUAUAUUUCCGGAAUUUGCUGCUUCAAUAACCUAUUCUCCUCUAAAGAUACGAACUCUCGUGGAAUUAACUGAUCUCGAUUUUUUUCAUUAUCAGAUUUCGUACCAUCUUUUCG
rnacentral:lncRNA from 1 species